GGGGAAGUAAUCAGUGAGGAUGUGCAAGGGUCUCUCAGAAAGCCCUAGGCAGGCAAUCGGACCCUUAUGUUUCUACUACCCAGUAUAAGUACAGACUUCUUACCAGCUUUUAUCACAGUCCUGGAUCCCCAGGGGGAAUGCUGCUCUAACCAAGCUCUUAGCAUGCCGUGGCAGUCAACAAGAUUAAGGCUGUUUCUGACGAGAGCAACCUCGCAGUUUGUCGUGGUGAAUGUACUGUUGGAGCCUCCUCUCCAGGCGAAGGAAGCAAUGACCUCCACCUCCUGUGAGCAAAGCACUGUGCCUGAAACAGCACCUGUAAAUGGGCAGCCAGUGCAAA